GAACCGUCCAAACGUUUAUUCGGAAUCACUGGGCUUAAAGGGUGCGUAGGCGGCCCGGCAAGUUGGGUGUGAAAUCCCUCGGCUCAACCGAGGAAUAGCGCCCAAAACUGCCGGACUUGAGGGAGACAGAGGUGAGUGGAACUAUGGGUGGAGCGGUGAAAUGCGUUGAUAUCCGUAGGAACACCGGUGGCGAAAGCGGCUCACUGGGUCUCUUCUGACGCUGAGGCACGAAAGCUAGGGGAGCGAACGGGAUUAGAUACCCCGGGUAGUCCUAGCUGUAAACCGAUGAGCACUAGAUCGUAGAGAUCUCCCAUGUCUUUACGGUCGAACUGAAAAGGUUAAGUGCUCCGCCUUGGGGAGUAUGGCCGCAAGGCUG
rnacentral:rRNA from 1 species